AAAUUUUCGCAGAGGCAAUAUCGUAGCCAAUGAGGUUAAUCCGAGGAGCGAUUAUUGCUAGUUGAAAACUUUACCAAAAUGUCUUACUUUUUGACGCACAUUUUUAAACAACUUUUUUCUAUGGGAUUAUAUUAGU